AUGCACGCUGACAGAAUGCUUAACACAUGCAAGUCAACUUGAACUUCGGUUUGGGUGGCGGACGGGUGAGUAACGCGUAAAGAACUUGCCUCACAGCUAGGGACAACAUUUGGAAACGAAUGCUAAUACCUGAUAUUAUGAUUAUAUGGCAUCGUAUAAUUAUGAAAGCUAUAUGCGCUGUGAGAGAGCUUUGCGUCCCAUUAGCUAGUUGGAGAGGUAACAGCUCACCAAGGCGAUGAUGGGUAGCCGGCCUGAGAGGGUGAUCGGCCACAAGGGGACUGAGACACGGCCCUUACUCCUACGGGAGGCAGCAGUGGGGAAUAUUGGACAAUGGACCGAGAGUCUGAUCCAGCAAUUCUGUGUGCACGAUGAAGUUUUUCGGAAUGUAAAGUGCUUUCAGUUGGGAAGAAAAAAAUGACGGUACCAACAGAAGAAGUGACGGCUAAAUACGUG
rnacentral:rRNA from 1 species